rnacentral:rRNA from 1 species
GUGCCAGCAGCCGCGGUAAUACAGAGGGUGCAAGCGUUGUUCGGAAUUAUUGGGCGUAAAGCGCGUGUAGGCGGCUUAGCAAGUCGGGCGUGAAAGCCCUCGGCUCAACCGAGGAAGUGCACCCGAAACUGCUGAGCUUGAGUGCCGGAGAGGAUGGCGGAAUUCCCCAAGUAGAGGUGAAAUUCGUAGAUAUGGGGAGGAACACCGGUGGCGAAGGCGGCCAUCUGGACGGUAACUGACGCUGAGACGCGAAAGCGUGGGGAGCAAACAGGAUUAGAUACCCUCGUAGUCC